rfam:Salmo salar isolate Sally breed double haploid chromosome ssa24, whole genome shotgun sequence.
UUUAAUUCUCCCUGUAAAUUGCUCUGGAUAAGAGCAUCUGCUAAAUGACUAUAC